GGAGAGCCAUUUAAGAGACUGUUCAGUAGAUGAUGUCUUGACUAGAAUGGAUAGAAAUGGCCUGAUUUCAAAACUGAACUGCUGGAAUUUAAUAUUUUUUUUAAAUUACUGUAAAGAAAUGCCCUGUCAUUCAAUGCCAGACCACCUUUCUGAAAUAGAAAUGUAUCAUGUCACACCUGUUUAAUCUUCAAGGGUCCCCCAAACAUCCACAGGAGAGAGGCCAAUCUCCUGAUGGCAAGAAACCAUUUAAGUUAGCAGCUGUGUAGCUUUUCAGGCUCUGCUUCUAGCAUCACCCUCUCUAUGCCCUAAACUUCAACUACACCAGACUACUUUUUUGUUUGCAUUUUUGUUUUGUCAUUGCCUUGCGUGUGCUGUGAACUUUACCUGGAAUACCACUUACUCUUCCUCUCAUGCACCCCAUGGCACUGAGUCAUCAUUCCCAACCAUAAGGACACUCUCGUAAAAUCCCAGACAGGUUAGUUGCUGAUUCCUUCAUGAGCUUAUUGCAGCCCAAGUGAUUUUUUCAUUGAGUUCUGACUCUUUGCAGCAGACUGAGAGCCCUGAGGGCAAGGACUAGGCUUUGUUAUUUGUGUUCCUAGAACUAUGCCUCCUGAGUUCUUUAACUGCUUUUCAAAAUGAAUAAAUGAAUGGGUAGAUCAUGCUGAAAAUUGACUCAUAGUGUGUUCCCUCAGUGACAUCAUUUCAAAACUUUCUCCUGGAUAUCCUUCAACCAUUCUUUACGUUAUUAUGGUUUGAGUCAAAAGUUGUUUUUGUCAUUCUCUUGUGUCAUCUCAUGAAUAGCAUCAUUUUUUUUUUCUUUUCACCAACCCACAGGAAUGUUCCAGCACAAAAUGGCUGGUCAUUUUUCUUCGUGCUGUGGUAAACAUGUCACACCCAGUAAUGGAGAACCAGCAGAAGACAAGCAAGACGAGGACCAAGAAGAAAAAGUCCAAAUUAAGCAUAAUAUUGUACUAACUGGCAUCUGUCUCAUAGUGGGAUAUAUGAGGCUCGGGCACACUUGUAUUGCCCACAGAGGUUCUUAGGCUUUUCCUGAAUGUUUGAGCUAUUACUAGACUUUUUUCACUGUUUGGGGCUUCAUAUUAUGGAAAGCUCCACCCAGUAGUCAAGGACAAGCUAUGCAUACAUCUUGGAAGCAUUUUGUGGAUUUACUGUCUUCAUCUGACUUUCAUCAUCUUUACUCAUUGAGCCAAUAGGAUAGACAGGCCAUAAAGACAAUCACAUUUAUGAAAUUUGUUAUCACACCUCUUUGGACAAAUUGUGAGUCGCUUAUGAGGAAGGGAAAUGGAUCGUGACUGCCUGCAUAUGAACCAUAGCAUUUACUCACUGCAUGAGUGUGAAGUAGGAAAGCUGAGUGAAGGAUAUCUUCAUGUACGCGAAGAUCUUGAUGUCCAUCUUAAUUAUAUUGAUGAAUGGCUAUUUUGUUUCUAAAGUGUCCGUUUCUGUAUCCAUGCCCGUUGUGACCGUCCUUUAUUUGCUGACCAAUGUGGCUUACAAUGUCAUCUUACAUAUGCCUUCUUUCCCGAAGCUGUUGCUGUGACAUUUGGUAAUAAGGUCCAAAGCCAUGUUCAGGGACUAAUUCCUAUUACAGUGACCAUGGCUUGUGUCAGUGAACUGAACUCAAUCAGUCAUUACAGCAUCCAGAAAUGCCAAUUGCUAUGUUUGCAGAGCAUCUAACUGAUGGCAGCCAAAGCCUCUCAUUCUUCACACCCAGUUUUCAGGCUCCUUUAUGUGGGCCCAAAGGAAGGGCACUUUCCCUUUGGUUUAAGCAUGAUCCCUGUGGAAUGAUUCACACCACUGGUCCCUGCUCUUCUCUCCAAACUAAGACUCUUCUUUCCAGUAGUUUAUUGCUUGUGUACCCUCUUUAUGAGAUACAGUCAACUCCUUAAUUGGAAUUGGAAUUUAUCUGGAAUUCCUGCAUAUUUCUUAAGAGUAUAUUUAUCAGCAAAAAUGACCUUCAAAUUUACAAAGACUAUGGUAAGAAAACAAACUCAACUUUGUUUCCACUGCACUCUGUGACUUGCAAUGCCAACCAUGUAAAUGGAAUAAAAGCUUGUGUGUGUAAAA